UCAUUAACCGAGCAUUUGAUUCUUGGCACAAUCGUUUUCUCAAUGGCUUUAAACUUGUUUCCGUUCUUAUUACAUUCAUAUUAUAUUUCUGAUUAAUUCAAGAGUUAAAUUCUCGAACACUUUUAAAAAUGGAAGCCAAAUACUUCUUUACAAUACUAUCGGAUGUUUCAUAGCGCCAUCUAGAAUGAUGCUCAUAACCGUAAGUGUAUACAGCAAUCUGUUCGUAAAAACAAAAAUUUCAUUCGAAUUUCAUCUCGCAUCAAUAUGUAAUGCUACACGCGUACAUUAGACUUAGAAACGAUUGGAUUUGAAUUUCUUUUGCCAAUUUAAUCAAUUUAAUACAAUAUUCCAAAAUAAGUAACAUUUCUCAAUAGUUGAUCCAAAAUAGACACUGCUAGUCUCCACUUCUUUGUUUGAAAUCAUUUCUAGUGAAAGAUCUGAAAACAGAGAAAAUAAUCGAGAAAUCUUUGAAAGCCAAGAAGCCAAGUAAAUAUUUUAUCAUUUAAGGCAAAUAUUUCUCUAAAUGAAAAAGAAAAGGAUUUAAGGAAAUAAAGGGUUUACAGUACAACAUUCAAUUAAAAUGUUUGAUUGCUUUCUAAAUAAGCAAUAUAUAAGAUUUAUUUACAAAUUCGAUACCAUGUAUAUUCAUAUUUAGUUCUUCAAAUUUCAGGUAUCUCUUUCGAAUAUUCAAUAAAUAAUAGUAUCACGAUUGUUACGGAUUUAAAAUAAAUAUCGCUUUGCCAUUGGCUUAAAGUUUCAUUCAUUUGCGUACAUACCUAAUAUGUAUUUACAAGUUUAAGAAAAUCUUACAAGUCUAAGAUUGUCAGGCUCGUAAGCUGCCUUACGUGAUUCCAUGAUUUCUUAUGGUUUCAAUCGUGUUCAAGAAUGAAAUCACAAUUGUUCAAGUAAAAGAAACAUCAUAUUUCGUUCGUCGAUUAAACGUAUCGAUAAAUCCAGUCUAUUUUAUAUUCGUGUAUAUAAUUGAAGGAACGAAUAAUAUUCGUAAUGGGGGAAAAAAGCAACGUAGAUCGUGGAUAUCGUUGCUACUCUACAAAUAUGUUUAAAAUGCAUAAACAAAUGAUAAAUGUCAAUCAAUUUGAUCGACACAUCACACAGCCGAUAUGUUUAAUUGAAUAUAAAACUACGUGAAAACAUUUUUGCGUUAUUAAGAAAUACAAAAUCUACGGGUUAUAACGCUUUUUUUUUUUUUGUUGUAGCGAUAUAAAGAGUGUACCUGCGUGUACGUGCGUAUAUAAAUAUACGCUACACGCAUGUA